rnacentral:rRNA from 1 species
CAAUAGCGUAUAUUAACGUUGUUGCAGUUAAAAAGCUCGUAGUUGGAUUUCUGGAGGGAGCGUCGGCCCGUAUUUACGAGUGCGUGACGUCUCUGUCCAUCCUUGCGGGAAGGCACGGCAUUGAUUUGUUGUGUCGGAUCGCAUCAUUUACUGUGAAAAAAUUAGAGUGUUCAAAGCAGGCUUUCGCUUGAAUACAUUAGCAUGGAAUAAUAAGAUAGGACUUUGGUGCUAUUUUGCUGGUUGAGCCUAAAGUAAUGAUUAAUAGGGAUAGUUGGGGGCACCUGUAUUGCGUUGUCAGAGGUGAAAUUCUUGGAUUUACGCAAGACAAACAGCUGCGAAAGCGUCUGCCAAGGAUGUUUUCAUUAA